CUAAGUUUGAUGGCGACCGGCGCACGGGUGAGUAACACGUAUCCAACCUGCCGAUGACUCGGGGAUAGCCUUUCGAAAGAAAGAUUAAUACCCGAUGGCAUAGUUCUUCCGCAUGGUAGAACUAUUAAAGAAUUUCGGUCAUCGAUGGGGAUGCGUUCCAUUAGGUUGUUGGCGGGGUAACGGCCCACCAAGCCUUCGAUGGAUAGGGGUUCUGAGAGGAAGGUCCCCCACAUUGGAACCGAGACACGGUCCAA
rnacentral:rRNA from 1 species